rnacentral:tRNA from 5 species
CGGUAGCUCAGUUGGUAGAGCAAGGGACUGAAAAUCCCUGUGUCGGUGGUUCAAGUCCACUCUG